rnacentral:SRP_RNA from 1 species
GCCAGGCAUUGUGACAUGUGCCUGUAGUCCCAGCUACUUGGGAGGCUGAGGCGUGAGGAUGCCCUUCAGGUAUACGCACUAAGUUCAGCAUCAAUAUGGUAACCUCUCAGGAGCAGGGGAGCCACCACGUUGCCUAAGGAGGCGUAAAUUGGCCCAGGGCAGAAAUACAGCAGAUCAAAACUCCUAUGCUGAUCAGUAGUGGGCUCGUGACUAUGAAUGCCAGUACAUUUCU